rnacentral:rRNA from 1 species
GAUGAACGCUAGCGGCAGGCCUAAUACAUGCAAGUCGGACGGGAUUCAGGAGCUUGCUUCUGAUGAGAGUGGCGCACGGGUGCGUAACACGUAUGUAACCUACCUUUAUCAGGGGGAUAGCCUCUCGAAAGAGAGAUUAAGCCCGCAUAAAAUCACAGCACAGCAUUGUGUAAUGAUCAAAUAUUUAUAGGAUAAAGAUGGGCAUGCGGAACAUUAGCUAGAUGGCGGGGUAACGGCCCACCAUGGCGACGAUGUUUAGGGGAUCUGAGAGGAUGGCCCCCCACACUGGUACUGAGACACGGACCAGACUCCUACGGGAGGCAGCAGUAAGGAAUAUUGGUCAAGGGGCGGAAGCCUGAACCAGCCAUGCCGCGUGCAGGAAGACGGCCCUACGGGUUGUAAACUGCUUUUAUACGGGAAUAAACCCAGAUACGUGUAUCUGGCUGAAUGUACUGGAAGAAUAAGGAUCGGCUAACUCCGUG